rnacentral:rRNA from 1 species
ACCCUUAGAUGUUCUGGGCCGCACGCGCGCUACACUGAAGGGAUCAGCGUGUUUUCCCUUUCCGAGAGGAACGGGUAACCCGCUGAACCCCCUUCGUGGUAGGGAUCGGAGCUUGCAAUUGUUCUCCGUGAACCAGGAAUUCCCAGUAAGCGCAAGUCAUAAGCUUGCGUUGAUUACGUCCCUGCCCUUUGUACACACCGCCCGUCGCUACUACCGAUUGAACGUUUUAGUGAGGUAUUUGGACUGGGCCUUGGGAGGUUUCGGCCUCCCUUGUUGCUCGGAAAAACUCCCAAACUUGAGCGUUUAGAGGAAGUAAAAGUCGUAACA